CCCCCCCCCCCCCAAGCUAUCCCUAAUAAUCCCCUUAUUGUUUUUCUAUACUAUGUCUAUUUGUAAAUAUUUUAUUAUCUUAUACUCUUAUGUAUGUUUAUUUUUAUUAGUGAUUCUUUUUGGUAGUUUCUGAAGUGUAGUUGGCAGAUAAUAUUAUUUUUAAUUUUGUUGUACUUUUAUGUACAAGAUGGCGGCUGGCAUAAGCCGGCUCAUUAACCUAGAUCUAAUGUGUAUUGUUGUGACUUUUAUCUGAUGUUAUCUAGAUCUGUUUAUUGUCUACCCAGCCUGUGUGGGUUGUGGCGUAGACUUGACCUAAAAUUUUGUGGCUUUUAUUAGCUACAUGGAGGCUAAUUACUAAUAUGUAAUUACCUCAUGUCUCUAGGCUAUCCUUACUGCAGUACUGCUGUUGUUAGUCUACUGCCUGUAGGCUGUUGUUAGUCUACUGCCUGUAGGCUGUUGUUAGUCUACUGCCAUUAGUCUGCCAUCGUCUCCUUGUAGUACCUUUUUGUGUUAUAUUUUAUUAAUUCUAAGCUUAGGUCUAGGGUAGUAAUAGUUAGAUAGUUGGUUUGGUUAGUCUGUUAGUGUUUGUAGAUUUAGAGGGUUUUAGUCAGAUGCUGAGUUCAGUUGUAGUGUUAGUGUAGCUCUAUAUGUUAUAUUUUAUUAUUGAUUUAUUUGUGUAUGUAAAUAAAGUUUCUUUUUGUUUUAUUUAUCCUAAAGUAAAA